ensembl:lncRNA
CCGGGAGGCUCUGCGCCGCGCGGAAUCCUCGGCUGGCGGCUUAGAUAAACAACCACCUGGGCCACCCGACAACACCCCAGUCCGUCAAACCCAGUGGGUAGGGGGCAUAUUGAACAUGCGCAGUUCUCCACCCGGCGACGGGAGCUGUUUCUACCUGAACACGCCAAGUUCAAGACUUUGGCGGAGACAGGCUGUUGGAGGGGCCAGAGCAGUCUCCGAGAUUUAACCUGAGGAGGGGAGUGAGAAGAGAGACACCGGCAGGGCCCAAACGGCGACCCUGGCACGAGGGCCUGGCUGGACACCACCCGGUCCGUCAGCAUUCCUGAGGGAUUUGUUUUUAUAAAGAUAACGAGAAAGCUGUUUGUUUUAGGGAGAAGCAGGCACACCACGAAAGGAAGCUUUUAUUUUACGCCUCAGGACACUCAGGGAGACGCGAGAGGCCCCAGGGAACUUACUGCCCAAGGCAGUGAGGCCGCGGUAGCCGGGGCCCACGCCCGGUGACGUCGCUGGGGGUCCCGCCCACCUCCCCCAGCCCCGCCCUUUUCUUGGCCUGAGAGAAAGUCCAGCUCUUCCCACGCCCUGUCACCACAGGCGCUUGGAAAAUCGGGAGAGCGGAGACCUCGGCCACAGCCCCAAAGCCCAGGGACACCUCUUAGCAACAGCCACCCGGGACAACCUAGUCGGGAGCUAGGGGUCCAUCUCAGCCAACCAGCCCACCUCUGUGGACCCCGUGGUGCCACUCUCGGCCAAUGGAGAGCCACCUUUUACCACGUGAUGCCAUCCACCAGCCAAUGGGGGGAGUCCAGUUGCAGGCUCCGCCCUCCCAUCGCUAACGGCUUGGCUGAGCGUGCUCUGCCAGCCAAUGUCAUGUCCGACUCUCUGAGACCCCAUGGACGAUGGCCUGCCAAGCUUCUCUGGCAUGGGGAUCUCCAGGCAAGAAUACAGGAGUCCCCAGAUGUUGAGAAGCUAUGACCUGGAAUGCAUCUGUUAGAAUUUGUCACAUACAGAAAAAUAAUGAAUGGAGUGCCCAUUUACUCCUCUUAGCCUUAUAGAGAGAGGAGAAGUUUUAGGGGACAUUUCUCAGGUUAUUUUCCCUGCUCUUUCGUCAAUGUGGACUUUCUUGAUGAGAAGGGUAGAGACUGUGGCUCUUGGAGUAGUUAUGCCUCAUUUAUAUUUCUCUGACAGGCCUCAGUUUCAUUCUCAGUGCUGCCAUAAAGAUAGAUUUUUAAUCACUCAGACAAACAUGUCACGUAGGAUCAUAUUUUCUUACUUAUUCUGUCUUGGUCAUGACCUGAUUUGAGGCUCAGUGUGAAAUGCUGGUUGAAGAAUUAGCUGCUGUAAGAAAGGGUGUUGAAAUGUGGAGAGAAUUUUGAAGAUUUGGGUGGGAAUUGGGUGUGUAUCUUCUGAUCCCUUAAUCGUGUUGAUUGCUACGCUAGCAUGAACUAUCUAUUCUGAGAGUGAUUUUAGAAAUAAAAUAUCUCCAUUCGUUUGUUCGUGGAAAACACGAAAUAAAAAUGAGAUAAAAUGAAAUUGAAUUUUCCCCGAGAGUGGUAAAUCUGUAUGCUAGUGAAAACUUAACAGUGUACACUGACACUUUAGGAUCUCUUUAGCUUCAGAAGUGCACUGCUGGGAGAAAAAAAAAAGAGAGAGGGAAAGAGAAACUUCAUUUCUCCUCACUGAAUCUGAGAGUUCUCUCACCUAUGCCCAUAUACCCUCAAUUGUCACACUUGUGUUACCAUGGAAACCCAGCUCCUUUCUUUGCUUCUGUGAAAGAUGUUGGAAAAGAUGGGAUGAAGUGGGGAAUACACUGUGUUCUGGGACUUUCUGGCAAUAGCAAGAAGCAAGCAUGCAAUGAAUUUAAUGUAAACAAGUGAGAGGGCAUUUUUAAAU